AACGAACGCUGGCGGCAUGCCUAACACAUGCAAGUCGAACGAGACCUUCGGGUCUAGUGGCGCACGGGUGCGUAACGCGUGGGAACCUGCCCUUAGGUUCGGAAUAACUCCCCGAAAGGGGUGCUAAUACCGGAUAAUGUCUUCGGACCAAAGAUUUAUCGCCUUUGGAUGGGCCCGCGUUGGAUUAGCUAGUUGGUAGGGUAAAAGCCUACCAAGGCGACGAUCCAUAGCUGGUCUGAGAGGAUGAUCAGCCACACUGGGACUGAGACACGGCCCAGACUCCGACGGGAGGCAGCAGUGGGGAAUAUUGGACAAUGGGCGAAAGCCUGAUCCAGCAAUGCCGCGUGAGUGAUGAAGGCCUUAGGGUUGUAAAGCUCUUUUACCCGGGAUGAUAAUGACAGGACCGGGAGAAUAAGCUCCGGCUAACUCCGU
rnacentral:rRNA from 1 species